rnacentral:rRNA from 1 species
UACGUAGGGUGCAGGCGUUAAUCGGAAUUACUGGGCGUAAAGCGUGCGCAGGCGGUUUCUUAAGUCAGAUGUGAAAGCCCCGGGCUUAACCUGGGAACUGCGUUUGAAACUGGGAGACUUGAGUGUGGCAGGGGGGGGUGGAAUUCCACGUGUAGCAGUGAAAUGCGUAGAUAUCAGGAGGAAUACCGAUGGCGAAGGCAGGUCUCUGGGCUGACACUGACGCUCAUGCACGAAAGCGUGGGGAGCAAACAGG